rnacentral:rRNA from 1 species
GACGAACGCUGGCGGCGUGCUUAACACAUGCAAGUCGAACGGAAAGGCCCUGCUUUUGUGGGGUGCUCGAGUGGCGAACGGGUGAGUAACACGUGAGUAACCUGCCCUUGACUUUGGGAUAACUUCAGGAAACUGGGGCUAAUACCGGAUAGGAGCUCCUGCUGCAUGGUGGGGGUUGGAAAGUUUCGGCGGUUGGGGCUGGACUCGCGGCUUAUCAGCUUGUUGGUGGGGUAGUGGCUUACCAAGGCUUUGACGGGUAGCCGGCCUGAGAGGGUGACCGGCCACAUUGGGACUGCGGUACGGACCAGACUCCUACGGGAGGCAGCAGUGGGGAAUAUUGCACAAUGGGCGGAAGCCUGAUGCAGCAACGCCGCGUGCGGGAUGACGGCCUUCGGGUUGUAAACCGCUUUCGACUGUGACGAAGCGUGAGUGACGGUAAUGGGUAAAGAAGCACCGGCUAACUACGUG